GAACAUCCUCCUUCAUUUCCUGCUGUUGGGAUAAGGUAUCCUGACAGCAGCAACUCAGGGGAGAGAAGGCUGGUUUGAGCUCACAGUUCCCAGUUACGGUUCUUCGUUAUGGAGAAGUCACAGCAGCAAGACUCAGAGAGAACUGAUCACACCACGUUACAGUCGCGAGCGGAGAGUUGUGAGUUAAUGCACGCAGGCUAGUGUUGGGCUUGCUCUCCCUUUCAUCCAGUUCAGGGCCCAAUUUAUGAAACAGCGCUGGCCACAUUCAAGGUGGGUCUUCCCUCCUCAACUGACCCAACUAAGGAAAUCCUCCAGGCCAGCAUAAUCCAGACAAUUCCCCGCCGACACUCCCACCACAGCUUAGAAGGAUUUCCAGGAGACACACAACCGACGUGCUCUCUCUUCUCGGUGCUAGAGGUUUGCAGGGUUCCAGGAAGUGAAAAAAAAAAAAACAAGGAUAAAUGUUCCCGUGGCCCCAGAGAGCUGAGCAUAUCUGGAAUGCGAUCUAAUGAAUUUUUGACGAAAGGAGGGAAGGAGCCAGAAUUGUGAAGACCGUCUCGAAAGGCUUCUGGCGCUCAGCCUUGGUUUGGAACUCUCCUCCAAACGGUAUUAUUUAUCCAAAUGACUUGCUAAGCUCUUACCCAGAUGGUCACAUCUCGCAAGGUCGGUGCUGCCAGCUCUGUGCAUUUUACCAUGUAUUCUCUUCCAAUAAAUGUCACUGCAAGCAUGAGCGAUCGGUACUCUUACCCAAUCUGUGUGUGAGGCAGGCUGC
ensembl:lncRNA